rnacentral:rRNA from 1 species
UACAGAGGGGGCAAGCGUUGUUCGGAAUUACUGGGCGUAAAGGGCGCGUAGGCGGCCGGCUAAGUCGAACGUGAAAUCCCCGGGCUCAACCCGGGAACUGCGUCCGAUACUGGUCGGCUUGAAUUCGGGAGAGGGAUGCGGAAUUCCAGGUGUAGCGGUGAAAUGCGUAGAUAUCGCUUGGAACGCCAAUGGUGAAAACAGGUUGCUGGGAGUGUGCUGACGCUGAGACACGAAAGCCAGGGGAGCAAACGGG